rnacentral:lncRNA from 10 species
GAGUGCUGGACAGACCACCAUGUGGAGUUGCCAUCUGAGGACAUUGCUACUUGGAUACCCCCACAGGACGCCCAGCCAGGCAUGAUGACUCACAUCUGUAAUCCCAGCACUUUGGGAGGCUGAGGCAAGAGGAUUGAGGCCAAGAGUUCAAGACCAGCCGGGGAAGCAUACCUCUCUUGAACCUUCACAGUCCAGCCGAGCUGCCAUCUCUUCAAGGAAGUUUUCCCUGAAGCCCUCAGGUAGACCCGUUUUUCCAUGGCGGCCACAUCAGCAUGCAGCACAUUUAAUUGGAAGUCUCCACAUAUGAGUUGGUUUUCCUUACUUAAAAUAUGCUUAUCAUCCCUUGGAGCACUUGAAAAUAUUGGCUAUUUCCUUCUGACCCCCAUGGUUUCUUUUAAAAAAUUUGCUGUUGUUUGAAUUAUUUUUCUCUACAGGUAUUGACUGCUGCCUCAUGAAGGCUGGUCCUGUCUCUAUAGUGAAUAUUGUGCACCUCAGGGUAGAAUGGAGAGCAGAAGACUUCAAAUCAGGCAGUCUGGGUUCAGACCCCAAUUCUAGUGCUAAAUAGCUACGUGACUUUAGGCCGAUUGUGUGUGACUUCCCUGAGCCCCAGUCUCUUUGCCUGCAAAAUGAGAAAAAUUAUAACAAUGUCAUCGGUUGUUCUGAGGAUUCUGAGAGGAAU